CGCCGUAAGCCCAAGGUUUCCUGUUCAACGUUCAUCGGAGCAGGGUGAGUCGGCCCCUAAGGCGAGGCAGAGAUGCGUAGCUGAUGGGAAGCAGGUUAAUAUUCCUGCACCGUCGUAUGAUGCGAUGGGGGGACGGAUCGCGGAAGGUUGUCUAGCUGUUGGAAUAGCUAGUUUUUGACUCAUAGAAGGUGCUUAGGCAAAUCCGGGCACGUAAUUCAAGGGGUCGAGACGAGUCGCCACGUGCGACGAAUCAAUCGGAAGUGGUUCCAAGAAAAGCCUCUAAGCUUCAGUCAUACGAGACCGUACCGCAAACCGACACAGGUGGGCGAGAUGAGUAUUCUAAGGCGCUUGAGAGAACUCGGGAGAAGGAACUCGGCAAAUUGGUACCGUAACUUCGGGAUAAGGUACGCCCUAGUAGUUUGACCACUUUACUGUGGAAGGAUGAACGGGUUGCAAUAAAAUGGUGGCUGCGACUGUUUAAUAAAAACACAGCACUCUGCAAACACGAAAGUGGACGUAUAGGGUGUGACGCCUGCCCGGUGCUGGAAGAUUAAAUGAUGGGGUGCAAGCUCUUGAUUGAAGUCCCAGUAAACGGCGGCCGUAACUAUAACGGUCCUAAGGUAGCGAAAUUCCUUGUCGGGUAAGUUCCGACCUGCACGAAUGGCGUAACGAUGGCCACACUGUCUCCUCCCGAGACUCAGCGAAGUUGAAAUGUUUGUGAUGAUGCAAUCUACCCGCGGCUAGACGGAAAGACCCCAUGAACCUUUACUGUAGCUUUGCAUUGGACUUUGAAUCAAUCUGUGUAGGAUAGGUGGGAGGCUUUGAAGCGGGGACGCCAGUUCUCGUGGAGCCAUCCUUGAAAUACCACCCUGGUUCAUUUGAGGUUCUAACCUUGGUCCGUUAUCCGGAUCGGGGACAGUGCAUGGUAGGCAGUUUGACUGGGGCGGUCUCCUCCUAAAGUGUAACGGAGGAGUUCGAAGGUACGCUAGGUACGGUCGGACAUCGUGCUAAUAGUGCAAUGGCAUAAGCGUGCUUAACUGCGAGACCGACAAGUCGAGCAGGUACGAAAGUAGGACAUAGUGAUCCGGUGGUUCUGUAUGGAAGGGCCAUCGCUCAACGGAUAAAAGGUACUCUGGGGAUAACAGGCUGAUUCCUCCCAAGAGUUCAUAUCGACGGGGGAGUUUGGCACCUCGAUGUCGGCUCAUCACAUCCUGGGGCUGUAGCCGGUCCCAAGGGUAUGGCUGUUCGCCAUUUAAAGUGGUACGUGAGCUGGGUUUAAAACGUCGUGAGACAGUUUGGUCCCUAUCUGCCGUGGGCGUUGGAAAUUUGAAGGGGGCUGCUCCUAGUACGAGAGGACCGGAGUGGACGAACCUCUGGUGUACCGGUUGUCACGCCAGUGGCAUUGCCGGGUAGCUAAGUUCGGAAGAGAUAACCGCUGAAAGCAUCUAAGCGGGAAACUUGCCUUGAGAUGAGAUUUCCCGGAGCCUUGAGCUCCUUGAAGGGUCGUUCGAGACCAGGACGUUGAUAGGCUGGGUGUGGAAGUGCAGUAAUGCAUUAAGCUAACCAGUACUAAUUGCCC
rfam:Massilia timonae CCTG 45783 genomic scaffold supercont1.7, whole genome shotgun sequence.